AGCGAACGCUGGCGGCAGGCCUAACACAUGCAAGUCGAACGCCCCUUCGGGGGAGUGGCGGACGGGUGAGUAACGCGUGGGAAUGUGCCCUUUGGUACGGAACAACUGAGGGAAACUUCAGCUAAUACCGUAUGUGCCCUACGGGGGAAAGAUUUAUCGCCAUUGGAGCAGCCCGCGUUGGAUUAGGUAGUUGGUGGGGUAGUGGCCCACCAAGCCGACGAUCCAUAGCUGGUCUGAGAGGAUGAUCAGCCACACUGGGACUGAGACACGGCCCAGACUCCUACGGGAGGCAGCAGUGGGGAAUCUUGCGCAAUGGGCGAAAGCCUGACGCAGCCAUGCCGCGUGAAUGAUGAAGGUCUUAGGAUUGUAAAAUUCUUUCACCGGGGAAGAUAAUGACGGUACCCGGAGAAGAAGCCCCGGCUAACUUCGUG
rnacentral:rRNA from 1 species